rnacentral:rRNA from 1 species
AGCGACUAAGCGUACACGGUGGAUGCCCUGGCAGUCAGAGGCGAUGAAGGGCGUGCUAAUCUGCGAUAAGCGCCGGUAAGGUGAUAUGAACCGUUAUAACCGGCGAUACCCGAAUGGGGAAACCCAGUGUGACUCGUCACACUAUCAUUAACUGAAUCCAUAGGUUAAUGAGGCGAACCGGGGGAACUGAAACAUCUAAGUACCCCGAGGAAAAGAAAUCAACCGAGAUUCCCCCAGUAGCGGCGAGCGAACGGGGAGGAGCCCAGAGCCUGAAUCAGCAUGUGUGUUAGUGGAAGCGUCUGGAAAGGCGCGCGAUACAGGGUGACAGCCCCGUACACAAAAGCGCAUGUGCUGUGAGCUCGAUGAGUAGGGCGGGACACGUGGUAUCCUGUCUGAAUAUGGGGGGACCAUCCUCCAAGGCUAAAUACUCCUGACUGACCGAUAGUGAACCAGUACCGUGAGGGAAAGGCGAAAAGAACCCCGGCGAGGGGAGUGAAAAAGAACCUGAAACCGUGUACGUACAAGCAGUGGGAGCACCCUUUGGGUGUGACUGCGUACCUUUUGUAUAAUGGGUCAGCGACUUAUAUUCUGUAGCAAGGUUAACCGAAUAGGGGAGCCGGAGGGAAACCGAGUCUUAAUUGGGCGUUAAGUUGCAGGGUAUAGACCCGAAACCCGGUGAUCUAGCCAUGGGCAGGUUGAAGGUUGGGUAACACUAACUGGAGGACCGAACCGACUAAUGUUGAAAAAUUAGCGGAUGACCUGUGGCUGGGGGUGAAAGGCCAAUCAAACCGGGAGAUAGCUGGUUCUCCCCGAAAGCUAUUUAGGUAGCGCCUCGUGAAUUCAUCUCCGGGGGUAGAGCACUGUUUCGGCUAGGGGGCCAUCCCGGCUUACCAACCCGAUGCAAACUGCGAAUACCGGAGAAUGUUAUCACGGGAGACACACGGCGGGUGCUAACGUCCGUCGUGAAGAGGGAAACAACCCAGACCGCCAGCUAAGGUCCCAAAGUCAUGGUUAAGUGGGAAACGAUGUGGGAAGGCCCAGACAGCCAGGAUGUUGGCUUAGAAGCAGCCAUCAUUUAAAGAAAGCGUAAUAGCUCACUGGUCGAGUCGGCCUGCGCGGAAGAUGUAACGGGGCUAAACCAUGCACCGAAGCUGCGGCAGCGACACUGUGUGUUGUUGGGUAGGGGAGCGUUCUGUAAG